GAUGAACGCUGGCGGUAUGCUUAACACAUGCAAGUCGAACGGACUCUUCGGAGUUAGUGGCGGACGGGUGAGUAACGCGUGAGAAUCUGGCUUUGGGUUCGGGACAACCACUGGAAACGGUGGCUAAUACCGGAUGUGCCGAGAGGUAAAAGAGAAAUUGCCUGAAGAUGAGCUCGCGUCUGAUUAGCUAGUUGGUGAGGUAAAGGCUCACCAAGGCAGCGAUCAGUAGCUGGUCUGAGAGGAUGACCAGCCACACUGGGACUGGGACACGGCCCAGACUCCUACGGGAGGAAGCAGGGGAGAAUUUUCCGCAAUGGGCGAAAGCCUGACGGAGCAAUACCGCGUGAGGGAAGAAGGCUCUUGGGUUGUAAACCUCUUGUCUUAGGGAAGAACAAAAUGACGGUACCUAAGGAAUCAGCAUCGGCUAACUCCAUG
rnacentral:rRNA from 1 species